rnacentral:rRNA from 1 species
GAUGAACGCUGGCGGCGUGCCUAAUACAUGCAAGUCGAGCGAACAGACGAGGAGCUUGCUCCUUCGACGUUAGCGGCGGACGGGUGAGUAACACGUAGGUAACCUACCUAUAAGACUGGGAUAACUUCGGGAAACCGGAGCUAAUACCGGAUAAUAUUUCGAACCGCAUGGUUCGAUAGUGAAAGAUGGCUUUGCUAUCACUUAUAGAUGGACCUGCGCCGUAUUAGCUAGUUGGUAAGGUAACGGCUUACCAAGGCAACGAUACGUAGCCGACCUGAGAGGGUGAUCGGCCACACUGGAACUGAGACACGGUCCAGACUCCUACGGGAGGCAGCAGUAGGGAAUCUUACGCAAUGGGCGAAAGCCUGACGGAGCAACGCCGCGUGAGUGAUGAAGGUCCUCGGAUCGUAAAACUCUGUUAUUAGGGAAGAACAAACGUGUAAGUAACUGUGCACGUCUUGACGGUACCUAAUCAGAAAGCCACGGCUAACUACGUG